CGAUUUGAUGCAAGGUUAAGCAGUAAAUGUGGAGCCGUAGCGAAAGCGAGUCUGAAUAGGGCGUUUAGUAUUUGGUCGUAGACCCGAAACCAGGUGAUCUACCCUUGGUCAGGUUGAAGUUCAGGUAACACUGAAUGGAGGACCGAACCGACUUACGUUGAAAAGUGAGCGGAUGAACUGAGGGUAGCGGAGAAAUUCCAAUCGAACCUGGAGAUAGCUGGUUCUCUCCGAAAUAGCUUUAGGGCUAGCCUCAAGUGAUGAUUAUUGGAGGUAGAGCACUGUUUGGACGAGGGGCCCCUCUCGGGUUACCGAAUUCAGACAAACUCCGAAUGCCAAUUAAUUUAACUUGGGAGUCAGAACAUGGGUGAUAAGGUCCGUGUUCGAAAGGGAAACAGCCCAGACCACCAGCUAAGGUCCCAAAAUAUAUGUUAAGUGGAAAAGGAUGUGGCGUUGCCCAGACAACUAGGAUGUUGGCUUAGAAGCAGCCAUCAUUUAAAGAGUGCGUAAUAGCUCACUAGUCGAGUGACACUGCGCCGAAAAUGUACCGGGGCUAAACAUAUUACCGAAGCUGUGGAUUGUCCUUUGGACAAUGGUAGGAGAGCGUUCUAAGGGCGUUGAAGCAUGAUCGUAAGGACAUGUGGAGCGCUUAGAAGUGAGAAUGCCGGUGUGAGUAGCGAAAGACGGGUGAGAAUCCCGUCCACCGAUUGACUAAGGUUUCCAGAGGAAGGCUCGUCCGCUCUGGGUUAGUCGGGUCCUAAGCUGAGGCCGACAGGCGUAGGCGAUGGAUAACAGGUUGAUAUUCCUGUACCACCUAUAAUCGUUUUAAUCGAUGGGGGGACGCAGUAGGAUAGGCGAAGCGUGCGAUUGGAUUGCACGUCUAAGCAGUAAGGCUGAGUAUUAGGCAAAUCCGGUACUCGUUAAGGCUGAGCUGUGAUGGGGAGAAGACAUUGAGUCUUCGAGUCGUUGAUUUCACACUGCCGAGAAAAGCCUCUAGAUAGAAAAUAGGUGCCCGUACCGCAAACCGACACAGGUAGUCAAGAUGAGAAUUCUAAGGUGAGCGAGCGAACUCUCGUUAAGGAACUCGGCAAAAUGACCCCGUAACUUCGGGAGAAGGGGUGCUCUUUAGGGUUAACGCCCAGAAGAGCCGCAGUGAAUAGGCCCAAGCGACUGUUUAUCAAAAACACAGGUCUCUGCUAAACCGUAAGGUGAUGUAUAGGGGCUGACGCCUGCCCGGUGCUGGAAGGUUAAGAGGAGUGGUUAGCUUCUGCGAAGCUACGAAUCGAAGCCCCAGUAAACGGCGGCCGUAACUAUAACGGUCCUAAGGUAGCGAAAUUCCUUGUCGGGUAAGUUCCGACCCGCACGAAAGGCGUAACGAUUUGGGCACUGUCUCAACGAGAGACUCGGUGAAAUCAUAGUACCUGUGAAGAUGCAGGUUACCCGCGACAGGACGGAAAGACCCCGUGGAGCUUUACUGUAGCCUGAUAUUGAAAUUCGGCACAGCUUGUACAGGAUAGGUAGGAGCCUUUGAAACGUGAGCGCUAGCUUACGUGGAGGCGCUGGUGGGAUACUACCCUAGCUGUGUUGGCUUUCUAACCCGCACCACUUAUCGUGGUGGGAGACAGUGUCAGGCGGGCAGUUUGACUGGGGCGGUCGCCUCCUAAAAGGUAACGGAGGCGCUCAAAGGUUCCCUCAGAAUGGUUGGAAAUCAUUCAUAGAGUGUAAAGGCAUAAGGGAGCUUGACUGCGAGACCUACAAGUCGAGCAGGGUCGAAAGACGGACUUAGUGAUCCGGUGGUUCCGCAUGGAAGGGCCAUCGCUCAACGGAUAAAAGCUACCCCGGGGAUAACAGGCUUAUCUCCCCCAAGAGUUCACAUCGACGGGGAGGUUUGGCACCUCGAUGUCGGCUCAUCGCAUCCUGGGGCUGUAGUCGGUCCCAAGGGUUGGGCUGUUCGCCCAUUAAAGCGGUACGCGAGCUGGGUUCAGAACGUCGUGAGACAGUUCGGUCCCUAUCCGUCGUGGGCGCAGGAAAUUUGAGAGGAGCUGUCCUUAGUACGAGAGGACCGGGAUGGACAUACCUCUGGUGUACCAGUUGUCGUGCCAACGGCAUAGCUGGGUAGCUAUGUGUGGACGGGAUAAGUGCUGAAAGCAUCUAAGCAUGAAGCCCCCCUCAAGAUGAGAUUUCCCAACUUCGGUUAUAAGAUCCCUCAAAGAUGAUGAGGUUAAUAGGUUCGAGGUGGAAGCAUGGUGACAUGUGGAGCUGACGAAUACUAAUCGAUCGAAGACUUAAUCAAAA
rnacentral:rRNA from 1 species